CCCUAGCCCAGAUAGAAGCGGUAUCCUUUUAUGCCGGGGUUCGGGCAUAAAAGAUAUAGCGGAUAGCUGGAAAUAGC
rnacentral:snRNA from 1 species